GCCGUAGGGGAACCUGCGGCUGGAUCACCUCCUUA
rnacentral:rRNA from 1 species